GCGCUAUAAUUGUAGCUUUAAUCCAAUACAAAGUAAGAAACAAGAAAUGACAAAAAACAUAAGAAACUCGGAAUAUUAGCUUUUCCUUUUUUUUUUUUUGUUUUUACGCCUCGGCUAUUGGAUUCAAAGUCCAAUGUCCUGAUAACUAGACCAUGGAACCUUGUUCUGGUAACGGAGAUUUGAUUAUUUUAUUUAUACAUUCC
rnacentral:lncRNA from 1 species